rnacentral:rRNA from 1 species
GAGCGGCGAACGGGUGAGUAACACGUGGGUGAUCUGCCUUGCACUCUGGGAUAAGCCUGGGAAACUGGGUCUAAUACCGGAUAUGACCACGUACUGCAUGGUGUGUGGUGGAAAGAUUUAUCGGUGCGAGAUGGGCCCGCGGCCUAUCAGCUUGUUGGUGGGGUAAUGGCCUACCAAGGCGACGACGGGUAGCCGGCCUGAGAGGGCGACCGGCCACACUGGGACUGAGACACGGCCCAGACUCCUACGGGAGGCAGCAGUGGGGAAUAUUGCACAAUGGGCGGAAGCCUGAUGCAGCGACGCCGCGUGAGGGAUGACGGCCUUCGGGUUGUAAACCUCUUUCGACAGGGACGAAGCGCAAGUGACGGUACCUGUAGAAGAAGCACCGGCCAACUACGUGCCAGCAGCCGCGGUAAUACGUAGGGUGCGAGCGUUGUCCGGAAUUACUGGGCGUAAAGAGCUUGUAGGCGGUUCGUCGCGUCGAUUGUGAAAACUUGCAGCUCAACUGCA